rnacentral:rRNA from 1 species
GACGAACGCUGGCGGCGUGCCUAAUACAUGCAAGUCGACCUUAGUGGCGGACGGGUGAGUAAUGCCUAGGAAUCUGACUGGUAGUGGGGGAUGACGUCGGCAAACGGGCGCUAAUACCGCACCCUAGCCGAUGUGACUAGGUCGGAUUAGCUAGUUGGUGGGGUAAAGGCCUACCAAGGAGACGAUCCUGAACUGGUCUGAGAGGAUGAUCAGUCAGACGGGAACUGAGACACGGUCCAGACUCCUACGGUAGGAAGCAGUGGGGAAUAUUGGACAAUGGGGGAAAGCCGGAUACAGCCAUGCCGCGUGUGUGAAGAAGGUGUUCGGAUUGUAAAGCACUGUAAGGUGUGAGGCGUUACCAACAGAAUAAGCACCGGCUAACUACGUGCCAGCCGCCGCGGUAAUAC